UUAUUUGUAUGAUUUUUAGAAUGUCACAUUGUUAGAUUAGUAACAUACUAGUGUCUAAUUCUAUUGAACUCCAUUGCAAGUCAGAUUUCUGCAAGCUAUUUGUAUGAGUUGCUGCCUUUGUAGUACGUUCAAAAUCAGUUACUUUUGAGAAUCUUCGGAGUUCACUAGGUUUUGGGUCAGUGGCCUGUCUGAUAUAUUGAUCUGUCAGUAAGUAUGUGUGCCUGUAUGUCAAGGGCGGAGGCAUUAUAGACACACUAAACACUACACACACACACACACACACACACACUCUCUCUAAACUGAGAGAAGGGGGCCUGACUGUAGGUCUGAUGUCUGUAUAGAUAGGAUCUUAGUUGACCACAAGAGAGACAAAACGCAGGAACCGGCCCCAGAGAUCAGCCCGAAUGCUGCUCGAUUCAUUGAUAACAAGGCUAUCCGGCUGCUUCGACCUCAUAUUAUCUGGAUCUAUCAGUGGAUUCAGUUCAAAACAAGGCCUUACUUUACCCUCUACCAGAGAUAUCAGAUCUUGACAUCAAAAUCAGACCGUUUCACUGUAGUACAUCACUAAAGUGCUGGAUUUUGAAGAGCAGUCAGCGAUUUUUUGAAAGCAGGCAUCGUUUUCGGUCAUGUCACGUCUUCAAACGUUGGGCGUUGAGCAGAAUUGUCCGUCAACAAUUUAUGUUCAUCUACCCACAUUUACAUACUCAGAUGGUUCAUAAAACCAUGCUUAUGGGAUAGGGCUGGUCUAUGUAAAUAUAUGCACAAAUGCACCAAUUUGCAUACGUGUCCAACAAUUUGUUUCAACUGGACACAGUGAAUUUGUGUAAAUCACACCGAUUUCCCCCAUCCCAGCAGUUUCCAGCGCUGCUCUCUUGUGGUCAUGAGCUGUAAAUACCACUCGUAUUGUUUCAGUGCAUAUGUCUAAUGAUAAGAAUAGGCUAAUACAGUUAAUCAGCUGAAAAGAAGCUUGGGAUAAAUAUGCAAAUCUGAUAUUUUCGUAUGUUUUGGUGUCUAUUUCUCUCUCGGAUGACAUAAUAAGCUUUUAAGACCGUAUCUAUCCCUGAUGCUUUUAGGUGCGAAUCCCACAUUGAAUUGUAUUGUUUAUAAAUGAUUAUCAUGGCUUAGUUUUGUACGGAUUCUGACAUCAAAUUGGUUAUAUUUUUAUUUCUGCAAAUCGACGAGACAUCUCAAACAGACUGAGCUGCAUUAGCUGUUUCCGCAUUCGCAAACUCAACUCAAAACUGGUGCUUUAGUUUUGUUUUUAGCUACAACCGCUGCCUCAAACCAGCCAAUCUGACACACACACGUAACAGACUCGACGAAGCUUUAACAUUACAGCGGGUGAAACGGGAAGAGGGGCUCGUCCAGACAAAAAAAAACGGCGAUGUCUCGUUUAUCUCAGCUGGAAGAUUCUUCGAGAGUAGGAACACGUCCUCCAAUGGUGAAACCAUCUUGUGGACGAUAGACUGGAUUGCAUAUGUAUAUACCAGUUACGAUAAGCUUCGGUUGGAUUAUACUAGUUUUACUAGCUCUAAAGAACAUUGGAUGAUCAGCAUGAUGGCGCUGAGUGUUUUCUUGACUGCCAAUGCCCAUUUUCACCCCCAAAAUCCAGAUCAAACACGACUGGAUCGCUUGCAUCCGAUCAACAAGGGAAAUAAACCAACAACCUAUGUAUCCUGCUCUGGAUUUAGCAUGAAGCCUUGCCCUCAUCACCUCAACCCAGCUAAAAGAGAAGGGACCUCCAACCGCGAGAGUCCCACCAGUUUUGGGUUUGCUUCAUUGGGUGUCAACGGAUGGACGUUAUGAAUGGA